GUGAUCGUCGCUGUGGAGAGACCUCCACCGAUCAGCGUCCAUUUUACAUAAUUACUUCGGGUUCUCCAGAACAUUUUAUGUAACUCACUUCCACGGCUGCCUCUGUCCUUUCUCCUCUCUCUCCGUCACCGGCAGAGCAGCAGCUCAGCCCUCCGCCAGCACUGACAGGAGCUCACAUAAAAGGACCAUUUCGAAUGGAUCACUGGGAGCAGCCCCGAGAACCCACAGGAAACGUGGGCUCCGAAACUCGACAGUGCUCAGCGGGCGACGAAACGCAUCACACAUCCCUCCCCAGCCAAAUAUGUGUAUGCAUAUAUAUAAACAUAUACAUAUAAUAAGGAUUAAUUCGGAGGAAAGCUCCGAGGUUUGAAACGACAAAUAAGCAGGGAUAUUUGCGCGAGGAAAAAAAAAAAAUGGUAAAUAAAUAGUUACUGGUGCUGGACAAAAUGGCUCGAUAGGUUUCAUAAUUUGCCACCGCUGUAAAAAAUAUCCCCUCCCUUCCCCCUGCCGUCCCCGCCGGCACGGACGGAAGCGCGGAGCGGAGGGUGGGGGGCAGCCGAGGAUACCAACUCCCUCCGCCAAAGUUUGGGUCCUUCCGAACCCGGCGAUGCCUCCAUAACGUGACAUCAGCUCCGAGAGACAAAAGUUGAGAUCUGCGUCUCCUUUCUGCCCGGGAAAGGAAACUGGAAAAAUACUAAUAAUGAAAAAUAGACGUUAAAAAUACCCGAGAGGAAAAAGUCGACGGACGAUCACCCGAAUUAACCCCCUCCGCCCCCGCAGGCAAACAGACAAACGACAAAACCUCCGGCUAAAGCCCCGUCGGGAGGAGUGGAACCUGCUUUCUCCGCUUUCUCUUUUCUGCUUUUAUUUAACGUAUGGCGAGCCUGGACUUCAAACUUAUAGCCGACACACGGCCACACAACAAAGAGUCCCCGUUCACCCCCGUCGCCGGCGCUGCGGGCAGAAGUCGUCGGCAAAUAGUGCAACGCAUCCAGCGCGCCGUGUUCCGCGAGCAGACAUAAAUCUCUCACGACGCUCUCCCAAACAGGCCAAGGGUAGUUCACAUAGAGGGCUGGCUUCGCACACGCUCACCCCGCUCCUCGUAUUCUUUGGAUGGAGGAAGGCUGGCAGCAAGGUGCACAGACAAAAGACCGGGGAGCCAACGCACGCAAUCACUCGCUGCUACAUCUUCACGUAUUUUUACAAUACGCUCUCCUAUCCACACCGCUUCCAAAAUAAUUUUCAGCCAGCCCUGCCUCUCGUCGCACGUAAACUUACGCCGUCACAGGAAUUCUGUUGACUCUCAUGAUGACAUAUGAAAGUGGCAAAACGAGGUUUUGCGCCCGGAUUUCGCCUUCAGACAAAGCUCCCCCAGCAACUUCAUCAGCAGGGAAUUAUAGUUUCACCCGGAGAAACUGGGUCCAAGGGAAAAAGAAAAUAAAAGUUAAGUGGUAUUGCCAUGGCUAUGCUAUGAAUCAUAGAUUCACAGAAUCACAGAGUCAUUGAAUCACAGAAGGGUUGGGUUAGAAGGGACCUGGAAGCCCAUCCGGCUCCAAGCCUGUGCUGUGGGCAGGGCUGCCCCAAAGCAGCUCAGGCUGCUCAGGGCCCCAUCCAACCUGGCCUUGAGCACCUGUAGGGAUGUGGAAAAUCAGUGGACAAACAAACGAGGAUCCAAAUCUUUUGAUGUUGAAUGGAGAAUUUACCUCAAGUAACUCAGAGUCAACUAAAAGUUAAGCGUCCUGUCUGAAGCAGUCGCAUAGGCUCUCCGUGUUGUUGGUGGAGAGACAGGCACCUCCAAAAAGCCCUUCCACCCAGCUUCCCAUGCCCCUAAAUGAGGAGGGAGCCUACAGAACACAAUGAGCUCAGAGCCCUAAGAACAUGCUGAUCUUCAAGAGCAAAUGGGAAACAGGGAAAGUCAAACUCUUCCCCAGACCUGAUACGGCUGCGCAAGUUUUUGUUGCACAUGACAAGAUUCUGGAUGACAGACUGGGAGGGAAGGAAUGUGCUUCAGUGCCAAAUAACAUGCUCUGUAGUGCCCUGUUCUCUCCUCUCCUUUUUAUGUUCCCAGGCUCACCAGCUUGGUGAGUUUAGACAAAUCUUGUAGGCAACCACAACUGGAAGAGGUGUCGUAUAACCACACCUGAAGCUAUGAUCUGCUUCAUUUGAAAGAAUUUGGCCUUUCAGGAGCUUCAUAAAUGCUGGUUUUCAAGUUCUACGGAGAUUUAAGCAAGACUGACUCAAUGAACCUGUUAGGUAUCCUGCUCAUCCUUGUGAUGGGUUAACACACUAUUUUUGACGUACUCCGCAUAUCUACCCUGUCACAGUUUCAUCACCACCUUCAGGGACUCUGCUUUACUAGAAUACCAAGAACUGUUCUUAUAAACCAGCUUGUUGCUUCCAGCUGAUCCAGAAAGAGUAGAUCAGAAUCACAGUUCGAGGUUCUUAUUGAUCUUGUAGAAAUUAUAGACAUUACAGAUAGGUUGUUUGACUGAUCCCAAGUGAAAACAUCUAAUCCAUAUAUUGCAACAACCUAAAUGGUUCUGAGGCUUAAUGUAAGGAUACCAUACUGGUGUUAAAAAUUCCAGGCAAAUUUCUGUUGCAGCUCUUUGCCAGAUAGUAUGGGCAAGACCUUGAAACAUUCAUACCAACAUAUCUGAACUUGAUUGCCUCCAUGUAGGCCCCUUCAGAACACGUUCAGAUCCUCCAGACUCCCCUGCUAUACACACUAUCACGUUGUCAGUCCAACAGGAAUGGUGAUUUAGUUUUCUCUAUUCAUGUUCUGCGGUGUCUGUACAACUUUGUUCAAAUGUAACGAGAAAGACGCCAAUUAAAAAAGCACAAGAGCCCUGCAGCUUGGCAGGCUGAUUCAAAUUAGGUACCUGUAUGAAGUGAUUAAAAUAGGUUUUCUAAAUCUGAAGAUAACAGGAGGACAGCGUGUUUGAUUUACAUCAGCAGGGGUCAACAAAAAUGUAGAAGAACCAUGCGGAUGCUCUUUACCCCUGCACAUUUACUGGUGAGGAUGCUGAAGACAGAAGGAGAGGAAUACUGCGCUCUCCUGGAGUUUUUCAAUACUCAAAGAAUCUCAACUGUUUCCCCAGCUCAGCAGUCAUUCCUUACUGCCAGAACUCCAAAUAAGCAAUAUUUUCCUUUAAUUCAGCAGCUUUGAUCCAUGAUUCCACAGUCCUUUUGCACAUACCUAUUAACAAAUCAAAUCUCACAAUUCCCUUUGGUAAAAAGCUACCGCUAUUCUCAUUUUACGGACAGUAAAAACUAAAUUGAAAGAGUUAACCAUUCUGCUGAAAACAAAAGUGAGACUGGGAUGUCAGACUUUCCUGGUCAGUUCAAGCUAUGUUGCCUUUAUAGAUCAGGCUCUCAGACAGCCCAAUUGAUUGGCAUAGCUGGGGCACAUUUGCUGAACAAGAACCGGCUUUUCUAUUGUUUUUGUUUGUUUUGUUUUGUUUUGUUUGUAAUCCAG
rnacentral:lncRNA from 1 species